GACGAACCGUGCGAACGUUAUUCGGAAUCACUGGGCUUAAAGCGCGUGUAGGCGGAUGGGGACGUCGGUAGCUGAAAUCCCCCGGCUCAACCGGGGAACUGGCGCCGAAACGCCCUGUCUGGAGGGACGUAGGGGGACCUGGAACUUCCGGUGGAGCGGUGAAAUGCGUUGAGAUCGGAAGGAACGCCCGUGGCGAAAGCGAGGUCCUGGACGUUUUCUGACGCUGAGGCACGAAAGCCAGGGGAGCGAACGGG
rnacentral:rRNA from 1 species